AGAACGAACGCUGGCGGCAUGCCUAACACAUGCAAGUCGAACGCUUCCGGGGCUUCGGUCGCGGAGGAGUGGCGCACGGGUGAGUAGCGCGUGGGAACCUGCCCUGUUGUGGGGGAUAACCGAGGGAAACUUCGGCUAAUACCGCAUACGCCCCGGGACUUGGUCUUCGGAUUAGGUCUGGGGGGAAAGAUUGAUCGCAGCAGGAGGGGCCCGCGUCGGAUUAGCUGGUUGGUGGGGUAACGGCUCACCAAGGCGAUGAUCCGUAGCUGGUCUGAGAGGAUGAUCAGCCACACUGGGACUGAGACACGGCCCAGACUCCUACGGGAGGCAGCAGUGGGGAAUAUUGGACAAUGGGGGCAACCCUGAUCCAGCAAUGCCGCGUGAGUGAUGAAGGCCUUAGGGUUGUAAAGCUCUUUCGCCCGCGACGAUGAUGACGGUAGCGGGAGAAGAGCCCCGGCUAACUUCGUGCCAGCAGCCGC
rnacentral:rRNA from 1 species